GAUUAGCUAGUUGGUGGGGUAAUGGCUCACCAAGGCGACGAUCAGUAGCGGGUCUGAGAGGAUGAUCCGUCACACUGGAACUGAGACACGGUCCAGACUCCUACGGGAGGCAGCAGUGGGGAAUUUUGGACAAUGGGGGCAACCCUGAUCCAGCCAUUCCGCGUGAGUGAAGAAGGCCUUCGGGUUGUAAAGCUCUUUCAGCUGGAACGAAACGGUAUUCACUAAUAUUGGAUGCUAAUGACGGUACCAGCAGAAGAAGCACCGGCUAACUACGUGCCAGCAGCCGCGGUAAUACGUAGGGUGCGAGCGUUAAUCGGAAUUACUGGGCGUAAAGCGUGCGCAGGCGGAUUGUUAAGCAAGAUGUGAAAUCCCCGGGCUUAACCUGGGAAUGGCAUUUUGAACUGGCAGUCUAGAGUGUGUCAGAGGGGGGUGGAAUUCCACGUGUAGCAGUGAAAUGCGUAGAUAUGUGGAGGAACACCAAUGGCGAAGGCAGCCCCCUGGGAUAACACUGACGCUCAUGUACGAAAGCGUGGGUAGCAAACAGGAUUAGAUACCCUGGUAGUCCACGCCCUAAACGAUGUCAACUGGUUGUUGGGGGAGUGAAAUCCCUUAGUAACGAAGCUAACGCGUGAAGUUGACCGCCUGGGGAGUACGGUCGCAAGAUUAAAACUCAAAGGAAUUGACGGGGACCCGCACAAGCGGUGGAUGAUGUGGAUUAAUUCGAUGCAACGCGAAAAACCUUACCUACCCUUGACAUGUCCAGAAUCCUGCAGAGAUGCGGGAGUGCCCGAAAGGGAAUUGGAACACAGGUGCUGCAUGGCUGUCGUCAGCUCGUGUCGUGAGAUGUUGGGUUAAGUCCCGCAACGAGCGCAACCCUUAUCAUUAGUUGCUACGCAAGGGCACUCUAAUGAGACUGCCGGUGACAAACCGGAGGAAGGUGGGGAUGACGUCAAGUCCUCAUGGCCCUUAUGGGUAGGGCUUCACACGUCAUACAAUGGUCGGUACAGAGGGUUGCCAAGCCGCGAGGUGGAGCCAUUCCCAAAAGCCGAUCGUAGUCCGGAUUGUUCUCUGCAACUCGAGAGCAUGAAGUCGGAAUCGCUAGUAAUCGCGGAUCAGCAUGUCGCGGUGAAUACGUUCCCGGGUCUUGUACACACCGCCCGUCACACCAUGGGAGUGGAAUCUGCCAGAAGUAGGUAGCCUAACCGCAAGGAGGGCGCUUACCACGGUGGGUUUCAUGACUGGGGUGAAGUCGUAACAAGGUA
rnacentral:rRNA from 1 species